rnacentral:rRNA from 1 species
UACGUAGGGUGCAAGCGUUAAUCGGAAUUACUGGGCGUAAAGCGUGCGCAGGCGGUUUUGUAAGUCAGAUGUGAAAUCCCCGGGCUUAACCUGGGAACUGCGUUUGAAACUACAAGGCUAGAGUGUGGCAGAGGGGGGUGGAAUUCCACGUGUAGCGGUGAAAUGCGUAGAUAUCUGGAGGAACACCGGUGGCGAAGGCGGCAUCCUGGACCGGUAUUGACGCUGAUGCGCGAAAGCCAGGGGAGCAAACGGG